AACGAACGCUGGCGGCAUGCCUAACACAUGCAAGUCGAACGAGACCUUCGGGCUUAGUGGCGCACGGGUGCGUAACGCGUGGGAAUCUGCCCUUGGGUUCGGAAUAACAGUUGGAAACGACUGCUCAUACCGGAUGAUGACGUAAGUCCAAAGAUGUAUCGCCAAAGGAUGAGCCCGCGUAGGAUUAGCUAGUUGGUGAGGUAAAGGCUCACCAAGGCGACGAUCCUUAGCUGGUCUGAGAGGAUGAUCAGCCAGGCUGGGACUGAGACACGGCCCAGACUCGUACGGGAGGCAGCAGUGGGGAAUAUUGGACAAUGGGCGAAGGCGUGAUCCAGCAGUGCCGCGUGAGUGAUGAAGGCCUUAGGAUUGUAAAGCUCUUUUAGCCGGGAUGAUAAUGACGGUACCGGGAGAAUAAGCUCCGGCUAACUCCGUG
rnacentral:rRNA from 1 species